CCUACGGGCGGCAGCAGUGAGGAAUAUUGGUCAAUGGGCGAGAGCCUGAACCAGCCAAGUCGCGUGAGGGACGACGGUCCUAUGGAUUGUAAACCUCUUUUGUCGGGGAACAAAGGCGCCCACGGGUGGGCGGAUGAGUGUACCCGAAGCAAAAGCAUCGGCUAACUCCGUGCCCGCAGCCGCGGUAAGACGGAGGAUGCAAGGGUUACCCGGAUUUAGUGGGGUAAAAGGGUGCGUAGGCGGACAGGUAAGUCAGCGGUAAAAAUGCGGUGCUCAACGCCGUACAGCCGUUGAAACUGGCAGUCUUGAGUGGGCUAGAGGGAUGCAGAAUGCGUGGUGUAGCGGUGAAAUGCAUAGAUAUCACGCAGAACUCCGAUUGCGAAGGCAGCAUACCGGCGCCCUACUGACGCUGAGGCACGAAAGCGUGGGUAUCGAACAGGAUUAGAUACCCUUGUAGUC
rnacentral:rRNA from 1 species